rnacentral:rRNA from 1 species
CCUACGGGAGGCAGCAGUGGGGAAUAUUGCACAAUGGGGGAAACCCUGAUGCAGCGACGCCGCGUGAGUGAGGAAGUAUUUCGGUAUGUAAAGCUCUAUCAGCAUGGAAGAAAAUGACGGUACCUGACUAAGAAGCUCCGGCUAACUACGUGCCAGCAGCCGCGGUAAUACGUAGGGGGCAAGCGUUAUCCGGAUUUACUGGGUGUAAAGGGAGCGUAGACGGCUAAUCAAGUCAGAAGUGAAAACCCAGGGCUCAACCGUGGGAGUGCUUUUGAAACUGAGUAGCUAGAGUGCAGGAGAGGUAAGCGGAAUUCCUGGUGUAGCGGUGAAAUGCGUAGAUAUUAGGAAGAACACCAGUGGCGAAGGCAGCUUACUGGACAGUAACUGACGCUGAGGCACGAAGGCCAGGGGAGCGAAAGGGAUUAGAUACCCUUGUAGUC